GUUUUAAGAUCUCUGAUGCUUUCUUGUCAGGAAUCUCCAGUGAACCCAGCCCUUCAUUCCAGAUGUGGCUGAGGGAAGAAAACGUCAUGCAAAGUGCAAGGCUGACACCUGGAGGGACUGUGAGAGGCAGCCGGGGAGCCUGGAGCAGCCAGACAUCCUGCAGCACACAUGGCUGGAUCUUCCAUGUCUAUUUUUAGGAGAAGAAACAUAGAAGCUCUGACUGUGUCACCUAAUUAUUCACUUCCAUGCUCAGGAAUGUCUGGAUCAAAACUUACCUUGCUCAAUUUUGUCUGGACUCCCCUUCCUGCAAAGCAGCCUGGCACCAGCAUGGUGAAGUGCCCAAGUCCAUACCUUCAGGGCUCUGUGUGUGUUCCCAAAGAGAUCAGCAAAGGUAAAAUUAGACAUUUACUAAGGUUGAGUACAUACUAAAAUAUACUCCUGCUUUGGAGUUGGAAUCUCUGGCUACCCCCUACUAAUAUAGUCCCUUUGAAUCUUUGCAUUUAUCCCAAAAUAAAGCAUUCAAGUCAAGAAUUAGCUUGCUGCCU
rnacentral:lncRNA from 1 species